rnacentral:rRNA from 1 species
UACGUAGGGUGCAAGCGUUGUCCGGAAUUAUUGGGCGUAAAGAGCUCGUAGGCGGUCUGUCGCGUCUGGUGUGAAAAUCCAGGGCUUAACCCUGGACCUGCAUCGGGUACGGGCAGACUAGAGUGCAGUAGGGGAGACUGGAAUUCCUGGUGUAGCGGUGAAAUGCGCAGAUAUCAGGAGGAACACCGAUGGCGAAGGCAGGUCUCUGGGCUGUAACUGACGCUGAGGAGCGAAAGCAUGGGGGAGCGAACAGG